UUUAGUAAAGAGUUCUAGCGUAAAAACCUACGUUUUAGGACAAAAAUUAAGAAAUUGUCCUCGUCAAUUCGCAUCCAAAAGGUUUCUUCAGACACUUACAUCAAGCAAAGAUUGAAUUUUUUCAGAAUAUUCAGCAAUUUUGGUCAAUGUUUGAGCACGUUUCGUAGAAGUCACAUUUUUUAUAGAAGAAGCAAGUUUUGGAGGUACAAAAAGUUGAGGUUCACCCGAUGACGCAACAGAUGUACGGUUGGUCCCAGUCUUUCCUACAGCUCCUAAAACAGUGUGACAAUUUAUAGUUAACUAAAUACUCGAUAAAAGAAAGUGCUUUUGCCAGCAGAUUAAUGCAUUAAAAAAUUAUAAAACUGUCAAA